rnacentral:lncRNA from 1 species
CAUUGACAACUCGCGGGGAUUGUUUUCCACACCGUGGAAGCUUUGUUCUUUUCGUUUUUUGCAAUAAAUCUUGUUGCUGCUCGCUUUUUGGGUCCACAUUGCUUUUAUGAGCUGUACCACUCACCGUGAAGAUCUGCAGCUUCACUUCAGAGCCUAGCGAGACCACAAGCUCACUGAGAGGAACAAACAACUCCAGACGCGCUGUCUUAAGAGCUAUAACACUCACCGCGAAGGUGUGCAGUUUCACUCCUGAGCUAGUGAGACUACGAAGCCACUGGAACGAAGAAACUCCAACCACGUUUGAACAUCAGAAGGGGCAGACUCCAGACGCUUCAUCUUAAGAGCUGUAACACUCACUGUGAAGGUCUGCAGCUUCACUCCUGAGCCAGCGAGACCACGAACCGAUCUGAACAUCAGAAGGGACAGACUCCAGAUGCCCCACCUUAAGAGCUGUAAUACUCACUGCAAGGGUCUGCAGCUUCAUUCUUGAAGUCAGACCAAGAACCCAGCAAUUCCCAACACACAGGGACCAGCUUCUUUCCUAACUCACUUAGGCUCUUCGUGCUGCUCUGGCAACUAACACCCUUGGCUGCAGGGGCUUGGACACUACCCUUAGUCACUGACAAUUGUGUGAAGGCUGCUGUCGUUAACUUCACUUGAUCACCUUAGGCUCCUGUGAAGUGGAUAUACAUCUUUCCACACCAAUAGACCUUGUUUUCCGAUGUAGCAUUAUUUUUCAUAGUUGGCGAAUAUACAGUUAUGGAUUCAUAACAGCAAGAUGGAGAAAUUGCACUGCAGAGAAAUCUUUAAAAGCAAUUACCUAAUACUGCAGAUUGCUGAACUGUACCCACACCCAAGACUGAGCAUUGGAUCAAUCCAGAAUAUACAUCAGGUGUUCUGCAAUGUCUGCCUAAAACCAUGACUCUGCCUCCUCCAGCUGUUGCUACAUCUCACUAUGGGUUUCCUGUGACAUUUUGAGCAAGUAUGCCUCUGUGACUGGGGUUCUUACACUCCAGAAUGGAUGAGAAGCACCGUAAGUGGCUUUUAAAAUGAAUAUUCCCUGGCCCUUCAGUCGCUCUAUAGGUCAAGAAUCUGAAUUCUCAACCUGUCUAGAAGGUUCUGGUUUUAAUGGUCUGUGGGCUGCACAUUGAGAAACCUGUUCAGCGAGUGCAACAAAGGUUCCACAUGUGAGAAAGGAAGCAUCAGGUCUCUUGAGCCUGUUCUUUAAUCUGUAGGCUGCACCUUCUCUUUAAAUUCUGCUAAUAACACCAUGCGAGAAAACACCCGAGCUUGAAAAGCCCAUGUUCCAACAUAACUGUCCUUCACCACUCUGGAAAAUUAAUGGUUUGUUUCGAUUAUCCCUUUGUUAAACUCCAAAGUCAAAGAGCUCUGAAAGGCAUACGGUUAUUUUAAGUUUCAGGUGAUUUCUGUUGCCAAAUAUUUUAAAAAUUUAAAAUUGCUACGUGACCUCUUAGUAGUACUAUUAGAUUUCCUGACAAUAAAAAUAAGUCUUUUGGUUUCACCAUUUAUAGUUAGUACAGCUAAUAUUAAGUAUAAUUUUAAAAGCCUUUUAUUUUCUCAGAAAGAAAAAAUAAUCAAAAUCUGCUCAGUGUGGUAUUGAAUAAUUAAAAACAAAAGAACAGUAUCUUCACAUUAGUGUUUAAUAUUAAUUGCUUUUUUACCCUUGACACUGGUGCUAAUUAAAUUUUCAUUUUAUUUUCCAUGACUUGUUUAAACAGUUUUUGCAAAUUAUUGCUAAUCAGCCUAAUAAAACUGAAUCACCUAUUAAACAAUUUUGUUUUGAAUUAAAUGGCAUUAAAAUAAUUCUGGCUGCCUUGUGUUAUAAUGUGUUACAAGAAUACCAACCGCUACAGGUAAUAUGCCUUAGCUUUUACACAUGCUUUAAAUAAAUCUACGGAUGUAUUUACCUACAUGCACAAACAUGCAAAGAGGCAGUGUUGGUUAGUUGAAUGGGUUUCCGGCUGGAUUUAUUUCCCGUCUACUGUCUUCUCAAGAGGAAAUCUAAGGCAAAUCUCUUCAACAACCUGAAACUUGGUUUUCAUCAUCAGCAAAAUAAGG